UAGGCCUACAAUAUUAAAGUUGGACUCAUGUACUAGGAAUAUCAUUUCUUUAGCAGAAUUAUCCCACUGAAUUAAAAGGAACUCUUUUUUUCAUGUGCGCAUGAUGCAACUUCCUGGAUGGUGUGUAGGCUGUUUGUCAACAUGUGAAUCCCACGUGCAUUUUGGGGAGUUGUCUCCCCUUGAAAAGAUCAAUAAUGGCGGAUAAACAAUGCGGCAUGCAGUCUGGUCACCAACGGACAGUUUUGACACCCGUAUACCUGGAUUUCUACCAAUUACCUCUGUAACCUUUGUUGUGUUCAUCACACAGAUGAUAUUUCCUUUGACAACAGGUGCCCCGGCCUACAGAUUCACAAAGUUCCAGUGUUGAGUUUCCAUGACCCCUAUUCAUCCACAACAGGAAAAGGAAUAGAGUUGACAGGACUUCCCGCACUGUCCCUGGUAGCAGUUUAUGAGGAAACCAACCGCAGUAGACAUAGCACGCUUCAUCAAAGAUGCACCAGAUGCAGCGGCACUGUCUCCAUCAUUAGUGAAAUGGGAUAUGAUUAGUGGACGGUCAUCACUUAGUAACUCACCAACACAAUUAGUGGCCCAUCUCUUCUCAUCUCCAAUGGUGGUCUCAGGAGGAAUGGUUGCAGUGCAGUCUUCAUGUCCUGGACAGGUCUGUUGCAUGUUGGCGGCUGAUGCUGGUUCAAUAUUUGCACCAAGAAACAUACCACGGAUACCCUCUGUUGUAAGACUGAUACCCAAGUGACCGACAGCCACGGCCACAUUCAGCUGUGCAGCUCUUUGUCCCCUGCAAGAUCUUUAAGCUUCGCGGUGACUGGUAAAGUGGCUCUUCUUAAAUUGGAUGGAAAGGAUCCAUGCCAGGCCUCCUUUUUCCUCCCCAUGCCGAUA